UACGAAGGGGGCUAGCGUUGCUCGGAAUUACUGGGCGUAAAGGGCGCGUAGGCGGCACUGUUAGUCAGGCGUGAAAGUCCUGGGCUCAACCUGGGAACUGCGCUUGAUACGGCAGAGCUAGAGGAUGGAAGAGGCUCGCGGAAUUCCCAGUGUAGAGGUGAAAUUCGUAGAUAUUGGGAAGAACACCGGUGGCGAAGGCGGCGAGCUGGUCCAUUACUGACGCUGAGGCGCGACAGCGUGGGGAGCAACAGG
rnacentral:rRNA from 1 species